CAGCCGCCGCGGUAAUACGUAGGGGGCGAGCGUUAUCCGGAUUCAUUGGGCGUAAAGCGCGCGUAGGCCGCCCGCUUGGUCGGGAGUAAAAUCCGGGGGCUCAACCCCCGCCCGCUCCCGAUACCGGCGGGCUUGAGUCUGGCAGGGGAAGGUGGAAUUCCGAGUGUAGCGGUGGAAUGCGCAGAUAUUCGGAAGAACACCGGUGGCGAAGGCGGCCUUCUGGGCCACGACUGACGCUGAGGCGCGAAAGCUAGGGGAGCGAACAGGAUUAGAUACCCUGGUAGUCCUAGCCGUAAACGAUGGUCACUAGGUGUGGGGGGACCCCCUCCGUGCCGCAGCCAACGCAUUAAGUGACCCGCCUGGGGAGUACGGCCGCAAGGCUAAAACUCAAAGGAAUUGACGGGGGCCCGCACAAGCAGCGGAGCAUGUGGCUUAAUUCGAAGCAACGCGAAGAACCUUACCAGGGCUUGACAUCCGGGUGAAGCGGCGGAAACGCCGUGGCCGAGAGGAGCCCAGACAGGUGGUGCAUGGCC
rnacentral:rRNA from 1 species